rnacentral:rRNA from 1 species
AGCGAUUCCGGCUACGGAUGGUCAUGCGUCGCAUUAGCUAGUUGGCGGGGUAACGGCCCACCAAGGCGACGAUGCGUAGGGGUUCUGAGAGGAAGGUCCCCCACACUGGUACUGAGACACGGACCAGACUCCUACGGGAGGCAGCAGUGAGGAAUAUUGGUCAAUGGCCGCAGGGCUGAACCAGCCAAGUCGCGUGAGGGAUGACGGUCCUAUGGAUUGUAAACCUCUUUUGUCAGGGAGCAAAGGGCGCCACGUGUGGCGUUUUGCGAGUACCUGAAGAAAAAGCAUCGGCUAACUCCGUGCCAGCAGCCGCGGUAAUACGGAGGAUGCGAGCGUUAUCCGGAUUUAUUGGGUUUAAAGGGUGCGCAGGCGGAAUGUCAAGUCAGCGGUAAAAUUUCGGGGCUCAACCCCGUCGUGCCGUUGAAACUGGCGUUCUUGAGUGAGCGAGAAGUAUGCGGAAUGCGUGGUGUAGCGGUGAAAUGCAUAGAUAUCACGCAGAACUCCGAUUGCGAAGGCAGCAUACCGGCGCUCAACUGACGCUCAUGCACGAAAGCGUGGGUAUCGAACAGGAUUAGAUACCCUGGUAGUCCACGCAGUAAACGAUGAAUACUAACUGUCCGGGCAGAAUGAUGCCUGG